UGGGGAAUAUUGCACAAUGGGCGGAAGCCUGAUGCAGCGACGCCGCGUGCGGGAUGACGGCCUUCGGGUUGUAAACCGCUUUCGACAGGGACGAAGCGUGAGUGACGGUACCUGUAGAAGAAGCACCGGCCAACUACGUGCCAGCAGCCGCGGUAAUACGUAGGGUGCGAGCGUUGUCCGGAAUUACUGGGCGUAAAGAGCUUGUAGGCGGUUUGUCGCGUCGAUUGUGAAAUUUCACGGCUCAACCGUGAGCGUGCAGUCGAUACGGGCAGACUAGAGUACUGCAGGGGAGACUGGAAUUCCUGGUGUAGCGGUGAAAUGCGCAGAUAUCAGGAGGAACACCGGUGGCGAAGGCGGGUCUCUGGGCAGUAACUGACGCUGAGAAGCGAAAGCGUGGGUAGCGAACAGGAUUAGAUACCCCCGUAGUCC
rnacentral:rRNA from 1 species